GACAUGGUUCCAUUUGCCCAAAUGAGCUCAAAUUUGACAUGGUAGACCUUGAACAUCCCCUGUUUAGGUGUAAUUAAUUUGAGAAUUUUUGGAUGUGUUUUGGUAUGGAUUUGAAUGCAAUAAUUCUGUUUGUAUGCUUGGUGCUUCAUUUGAACCAAUGUGCCUUGUUUUGUGCAUGAAUUGAUUUGGUAUGGAUUUGAAUGCAAUAAUUCUGUUUGUAUGCUUGGUGCUUCAUUUGAACCAAUGUGCCUUGUUUUGUGCAUGAAUUGAACAUAAUGGAUGAUAUAAACAUGAGACCAAUGAUGUUUGCUCUUGUUUGAUG
rnacentral:lncRNA from 1 species